CCCCAUCGAGUUGCUUUCUCUCUAGGCGAUUCAAAAGGAGAUCUAGGGUUUCUCUUGGCGAUGCAAGAUCUGGCUUUCUCAAUGACACCAGAUCAGCGUAUCUCUCUCUCUAUAUGACACCCAAUCGACUAAGUUUGAAGGUGGUGAAGGGUUUGGAUCUGCCAAUCAGUGACGUAUGAGCAAGGGGGUGUUUGGUCUGCCAAUCGGUGAUGUAUGAGCAAGAUUUCACAAGAUCUAAAGAUGGCGUGGUGUGUAGUGUUAAAUCCGACGACUACGGUUUCGGUGGUAUAAUUCUCAAGCCGAUCGGUGGCAAUAGAGACGAGUUCCGGUUUUAGAUGGUGGUUGAGGUAGGUUCCGACAAACUGAGUUGCAGAUCUAGGUUUCACCAGUUGGCGUAGGCAAUACUGCAUCAUCAAAAUGGAUGGUUUCUGAAUGGAGCUCUUGUCUUUUUGCUCUCAGUUUGGAUAACAUCAAUAAUUCGGGCAUUUUUUCUUCGACCUCUUGUCUUUUUUUUUUGAAUUGAGAGGGUUUAUCAGUUUUAAGUCAUUUACAACAACAGUAUGGCUUCAGUUACUUUGAAAAAGAACUACCACUGUGUUCAGUCUUUGCAACAGUUUUACUCAGGCGGACCGUACGCGGUUUCUUCAGAUGGAUCAUUCAUUGCUUGUCAUAGCUGUUAAAUCCACCAUUGAAGGGGAUUCGGAGUCUUCAAAUGCUUCCAUUAAAUCCACCAUUGAAGGGGAUUCGGAGUCUGUUACAGCUAUUGCUCUUAGCCAUGAUGACAAAUUCCUCUUUAGCGCCAGUCACAGCCGUCAAAUUAGUAUGUGGGAUCUUUCUUCACUUAAAUGCUUGCAUUCUUGGAAGGGUGGUCAUCAGGGUCCAAUAAUGGCGAUGAUACGUCACGCUUACGGUGAAAGUGAAUUGCAAGGGCAUUUCUGUACACAUUCCUUUAAGGGUCAUAAAGGGGUUGUGACAAGUGUUAUUUUUCAUCCUGACCCAACUUGUUGGCUGCUUUAUUCUGGAUCUGAUGAUACAACUGUACGCGUUUGGGAUGUGUUGCAACCUUAGAAAGACAUCGUUCAUAUGUGACAACCGUUGCAAUAAUAGAAGAUGGGGGAACCUUGUUGAGUGGUGGCAGAGAUCAGUAUUUUUUAUUUAUUAAUUACUAAUUAUUAGCUGAUGUUUUAUUUGUUUUUGCUUUAGUUUGCAAGUAUUGUACGGUUAACCCUUCAUCUAAUGUACCGAUAACUUUAGGUUGUAAACAUGUGGAACCUUCAUGACUACAGCUGCACAAAGAGUAUACCUACCAAUGAAGCAAUUGAAGUCGUAUCUGUUAUUGGCACCACAACUUCUUUUGCUUCGUGUCUGCAGAGCAACAAAACUGGGGACAAGUCAGCCGUUCAAUUUCUCACUCUUGGCGAACAUGGAAUUGUACAGAUUUGGAAUUCCCAUGGGUAAAAAAUCGUAUUGAAGUAAAUCAGUAAUACCAUGCACGGUGUUUUGGAACUGAAAAGUUGAAGAUCUUGCUCGCCUGUCAUUUCGGAAUACUCCGGUUUAUAUUGACGUAGAUGAUGGGAGGUCCAGGGUAAACGAAUUAAUUAUCGUAGUUGUUUAUGUUUAUUUCGUUUAUAUGAGCUAAAUGAAAUGGGUCGGGUCGGGUCUGGUAGACUCUGUGCUCUUUCUGAGAUAAGAACGCAACCCAAAUCGGCCCUUUCAUAAAUAAACAUUUUAAAAUCCGUCAACACUACUUUAAAAAAUAAUGGCCUGAAUUUUAUAUACCUUUCGGGCUUCUAAAAUGUGAAAGGGAAACCGCAGACUGAUAACUGUUUUUUGGUGUUUGUGCAGAUGAUGGGAAAGUCAAAGUCUUUGUUUAUAAGGCUACAACCAUUGGUGACCAAAACCUUUGUUGGUUGGCCAAAAAGUGAAAAAAAAAUAAAAAAAUCAAUUAAAACUCACGACCAAGUUGGUGUGUCAACUUUGGUUGAUGAUUUUUUUAUUAUUUUAAAAAUGCCACAUGUUGGCUUGUAAGUGGUUCUUUUAUAAUUAUUUUUUCCAUUUUUGUUUUAUAACAAUUCAUUUUAGCUAAAACAUGAUUUUCUUUAAUAACUUUUUAAAAUUUAAUUAUUAAAAAAAUCUGAAAACACAGUGUUGUUUAACUAUUUUUUGUGAACAUAUCGAUAUAAAUUUUAUCAAAAACCGAGUUCCUUCAAAAAAAUAUAUUUUUUUUAAUUAUUUUUUUAUAAAAAAUGCAUAUAUCUUUGUUUUCCACAUGUACUGGUCUUACUGGUUCGUUAGAUUUUUUUCGAUUACUUUAUUAACUAUGUUUGAUGAAUGUGUGUGUCUUUUUUUAUUAAAAUAUUUCUUAUAUUGUUGUUAUUUAUUUUGUUUUUAAAACGAAUCCGUUUUAAAUAAAAAUAUUAAUUGUAAUUAUUUUUAACACAUUUAUGGAUAAAUAAUAAGCAUAAAAAUAUAUAUUUAAUAAAAAAUGUUUUAAAGGUUGGGUUGUGAAUGUGAGUAGAAGGUUGAGGUAGGUUGGGUUGUAUAGGUGGAAGAGAGAGAAAUUAGUUUUUUAUUAUAAGGUUGGGUUGGAGAAAGUUGUUGAUGGAGAUAGCCUAAAGGAAUAUAAUCACCGAUUAUUUAACUGGUUGGUGGCCUUUUCGCUUGUAAUGGUGACUGUGGGCUGUUUUGUUAUAAAAUUCAUUUUGCGUGAAACCGGAGCGUGGAUACUUUUUAUAUUUUUUGGAGACGUACACACUGAUGUUUUGGUCACCUGAGUCUCUAUAUUACAAUCCCGUUUGGCAUGGCAUUAUCUUGAUGCCUUUAAAAAAUAAUAAAGAAAAUACUAUCUUUGGGGUAAUAAUUAACCCAUUCAUUGUUUAUAUAAAGAAAAUACUAUCUUUGGAGUUAUAGUUAACCCAUUCAUUGUUCAUAAAAUGUGCAUGAGUUUGACUGUUUAGGGCCUGCCAUUUGGCUAAACAUGCUUUUGAUGAGGUAAAAAGCUGAUCUAGACUCCUUGAGUGAAGAGUCUUACAAGGACAUCAUCUUGAUCAUGCAGCUCUCGAGAGAUAACCUCACCCUCUAGACCUCUGAUUCGCAGAGCCAAUAAACAUAUUUCAUGGGAGCCGCCCCUGAAUCGCUUACAGUGAUUUGCCCGGUUGAUGAAAAAUCCCAGAUGUACCACUUCUAAGGCCCUGGACUUUUACUACGCUUUGGGCACCCAAACUGGUUGAGCCGCCCCUGAAUCGUUUAUAGGCUGUAAUGAAGGUUCUACCAGAACUAAAUGGAAAACUGACAGGUGUGGCCUUUAACUUGUCAACUUGAGAAGAAGGCUUCUUAUGAAAAUGUUAAAGCUGCAGUCAAGUAUGCACUAUAAAACGGGUUUCAAGCAACAUAUGAUAUCAAUGACAUAAACAAAGGAGCUGUGCUGAUAUUUAUUUAGCGAUGAAGCUUAAAAUUAGACAAUGUAUGCAUUAAAAGCACCAUGACACAGAUCUGUGUACUUUAUAAUAUAUAUUUGCAUAACUUGAGAGUUUACAUCGACACAAUUGGUAGACACAUCUAGCUGUGCUUUGUAAGUCCAUCUUCAAUAAUUGUCUUUUCGGGGA